rnacentral:rRNA from 1 species
UAAGGAAUAUUGGUCAAUGGACGCAAGUCUGAACCAGCCAUGCCGCGUGAAGGAUGAAGGUCCUCUGGAUUGUAAACUUCUUUUAUCUGGGACGAAAACGGGAUUUUUAUCUCAAUUGACGGUACCAGAGGAAUACGCACCGGCUAACUCCGUGCCAGCAGCCGCGGUAAUACGGAGGGUGCGAGCGUUAAUCGGAAUUACUGGGCGUAAAGCGUGCGCAGGCGGUUUUGUAAGACAGAUGUGAAAUCCCCGGGCUUAACCUGGGAACUGCGUUUGGGACUGCAAGGCGGGAGUACGGCAGAGGGGGGUGGAAUUCCACGUGUAGCAGUGAAAUGCGUAGAGAUGUGGAGGAACACCGAUGGCGAAGGCAGUCCCCUGGGCCUGUACUGACGCUCAUGCACGAAAGCGUGGGGAGCAAACA